rnacentral:misc_RNA from 1 species
UUAAUUUAUUUUGCGUUUGCCACUCAGAAAAAACUGUAAGAAACAUGGGUUUGGGGGUCCUCGGCGGGCGCCUGGUUCCGGGCUGAGCCGGGGCGUUCCCGCCGAAGCAACGUUUGGUAUAGGUUCACAUAGGGGUUUGGGAGUUGUUAACUCGGUAAUGAUCCCUCCGCUGGUUCACCAACGGAAA